rnacentral:tmRNA from 1 species
GGGGCUGAUUCUGGAUUCGACGGGAUUUGCGAAACCCAAGGUGCAUGCCGAGGGGCGGUUGGCCUCGUAAAAAGCCGCAAAAAAAUAGUCGCAAACGACGAAACCUACGCUUUAGCAGCUUAAUAACCUGCUUAGAGCCCUCUCUCCCUAGCCUCCGCUCUUAGGACGGGGAUCAAGAGAGGUCAAACCCAAAAGAGAUCGCGCGGAUGCCCUGCCUGGGGUUGAAGCGUUAAAACGAAUCAGGCUAGUCUGGUAGUGGCGUGUCCGUCCGCAGGUGCCAGGCGAAUGUAAAGACUGACUAAGCAUGUAGUACCGAGGAUGCAGGAAUUUCGGACGCGGGUUCAACCCCCGCCAGCUCCACCA